rnacentral:rRNA from 1 species
AUUGAACGCUGGCGGCAGGCCUAACACAUGCAAGUCGAGCGGAGCGGCGGACGGGUGAGUAAUACCUAGGAAUCUGCCUGGUAGUGGGGGAUAACGUUCGGAAACGGACGCUAAUACCGCAUACUAUCAGAUGAGCCUAGGUCGGAUUAGCUAGUGGGUGGGGUAAUGGCUCACCAAGGCGACGAUCCGUAACUGGUCUGAGAGGAUGAUCAGUCACACUGAAACGGGAACCGUGUCAAGACUCUUACGGGAGGCAGCAGGGGGGAAUAUUGGACAAUGGGCGAAAGCCUAUCCCGGCCAUGCGGCGUGGUUGAAGAAGGUUUUCGGAUUGUAAAGCACUUUAAGUUGGGAGGCGUUACCGACCGAAUAAGCAACGGCUAACUCCGUGCCAGCCGCCGCGGUAAUAC